rnacentral:rRNA from 1 species
UAACGAGGAUUCCCUUAGUAACUGCGAGUGAAGCGGGAAGAGCUCAAAUUUGUAAUCUGGCGGUCUUUGGCCGUCCGAGUUGUAAUCUGUAGAGGCGUCGUCCGCAUUGGCCCGUGUACAAGUCUCCUGGGAUGGAGCGUCGUAGAGGGUGAGAAUCCCGUCCAUGACACGGACCACCGAUGCUCUGUGAGGUGCCCUCGAAGAGUCGCGUUGUUUGGGAAUGCAGCGCAAAAUGGGUGGUAAAUUCCAUCUAAGGCUAAAUAUUGGCGAGAGACCGAUAGCGAACAAGUACCGUGAGGGAAAGAUGAAAAGCACUUUGAAAAGAGAGUUAAACAGUACGUGAAAUUGUUGAAAGGGAAACGCUUGAGGCCAGUCGCGUCCUGAGGCACUCAGCCUUGCUUCGGCUUGGUGUACUUGCCUCAGAACGGGUCAACGUCGAUUUUGGCCGGUGGACAAAGGUGAGGGGAAUGUAGUGUUGUUUCGGCGACAUGUUAUAGCCUCUCGUCGAAUACAUCGGCUGGGAUUGAGGACCGCAGCACGCCCUUGUGGCUGGGGGUUUGCCCCACAUAACGUGCUUAGGAUGUUGGCAUAAUGGCUUUAAGCGACCCGUCUUGAAACACGGACCAAGGAGUCUAACAUGCUUGCGAGUGUUAGGGUGGAAAACCCUUGCGCGUAAUGAAAGUGAAAGUUGAGAGCCUCCGUAAGGGGGGUGCAUCGACGCCCGGCCCUAAGGUUCUCCGAAGGUGCUGCGGUAGAGCAAGUAUGUUGGGACCCGAAAGAUGGUGAACUAUGCCUGAAUAGGGCGAAGCCAGAGGAAACUCUGGUGGAGGCUCGUAGCGAUUCUGACGUGCAAAUCGAUCGUCAAAUUUGGG